AAGGAGGGUCAGAAGAUCAGAAAACAUGAAGAGAGCUGUGACACUUGCUGGGCUGAGCCUGCUGUGGAAGAAUAAAGACUGUUCUCCAACUUUUCUGUGCCGCUUGGUUGUUUCCCUUAUCAAGAGCUGUACAUUGCCGUGACACUUCGGCAACUGAAAGAUGGUGAGAAAUGGUACUCUGUUUGCCAAUUAGGUGUUGUCUGAGCCACCAGACUGGUCAAUCUGCCCAAGGGCUACUAGAGUACAGGGAGAAUCAGCAUGGCAGAGAGGGACCAAGUCAUCCCCGGGGUGCACAAGGUGGUGCUCGCCUGUGCCCUCAGCCUCCAGAGUGGAGGCCACAGGGGGCAUUAUUAGAGACCUGGUCAACCGACAGCUCCUGCCCGCCCCGGCUAAUGUUGCAGGAAACUGUCAUCCCUACUAGCGACCGGCCAGAAGUGGUUGCCACGUCCCGGGGGAGAUGAACAUUACUUAGAAAAGCUCCUUCCGGUUGAGUUCCUCACCAGCAGGGUUGGGAGGGGCCUGCACCUGCCCACCCGCGUCUGCGGACAAGCAGGCAGAGUGACCGUGGGGAACAACAGAAGGCAAAGGCGUCUUCCCACCACGGACCAGGCUGUGCCAUGGCGUCCACGGAGCGGUCUCGCCCGUCUCAGGCCUGACCCCGAGGAGCUCAGGGAAAGGGAGGCGAGCACCCGCUGGCGCCAGGCUGAAUUCACACGCGGAGGAAACGGCAGCUUGCGUUCACUUGUCUCUUGGGAGAGAGGCGAUGCCUUUUAUUAGACUCUCAGACUGAUCCAGGACUCAGAAAAGGUCACGAGCCACUGUUCUAGAGUAUAAAUAGAAGCAGAAGAGUUGUGAAAUAGCAUCUUCACCAAUAACCCAACUGAAACACAAACCUGCUGCCUGUGCUAGCAUACCCCCGGAACCAGUGUGAGCCCCCGGAACCAGUGUGAGCCCCCGGAACCAGUGUGAGCCCCCGGAACCAGUGUGAGCCCCCGGAACCAGUGUGAGCUCUGUGCGCGAAGGGGGGGACCAUUUCCCUGCAACUUCACGCAGCUCUUGGUCUGAAUUCCUGCACCUCCUACAAUUCUGAUCCAGAUUUAACCACUCGGCAUUUACCACAGUGAGUCUAAACUCUGGUCCUCAUUCUCAUCCUUGCAGUAUUUAAAGGCAGGUAUUAUGCUUUCCCCUCCUCCUAAUUCCUUUCACCUUCUCAAAAAAGAUCCUCACGAGAGCACAGUGUACUCUGUACGUCACCAGGUCUGCAGGGAGGGGCUGUUACUGUCCUCCUUACUGGCCCCUUGCGUGUAUUAAUGCAACCUAAAAUUUAAUUUUAUUUAACAAAUCUAUGAGUGUGAACCCGGUAUUCUAGCAUUUUAGGAAUUAAAAUCUGGCAUUUCCCCAAAUUCCUCACUACCUAGACACCAAAUAAAUGAAUAAAUGCAAGUUAAAAGAGUUUGAGAAUUUAGGAUAAGCAAAGGGAGCUGUAAUAAAUAAGGAAAUUGCUGUUUUAUUCUCACAUUCCCCAAGUCAAAAAAUAAAAUAGAUAGAAAGGAAAUAUGUACUGUCAGAUUCUGGCUGGAGAUGAGGAAGUGAGGAUUUUCACAGAAGCAAAUAAGAAAGAACUGCCCACGAGUCAUUUUGAUAUUUAGUAAUUUUUAAAAAGGAAUCUCCCCCAGGACAUCCCCCCACACACACACACACACACACACACACACGCACACACGCACGCAUUUACUUUAAAACCACCACCACCACCGUCACUGCCAUAAUAGAACAUAGUACUGAAGAACUUAAAUGUAUCAGUUUGGGGAGUAGACAGAAUUCUCUUAGCUGGGAAAUAAAAAAUAAGAGACUGACAUACUUUAUGGGCAACAAAUUUAACAAUACUGUGCCUGAAAUAAACUUUUAUCAAUAAUAAUGAUGUCUCCUAGAAAACAUAUUUUAAUUAUAAAUCAACAUACACUCAAGAUUCCGUUCAAUUAUACCUUUAACUGAACUGUCCUACCUUAUUUUUCCUUUUUUGGUAGAUUUUCUCUUUCUGCUUCUCUUUCCAUUUCUCUGGUAUGACAAGAAAUUGAAGAAUAUCACAAGUAUUUGACCACCUUUUGCUUCACGUAACUGUGCCUUGUGUGUUUUCACCAUUACAGGCAAAAAGGGAUUGGCACACAGUGUUUCCCACUGACGUCGUUUUGCUGGUGGAUUGAAUUGUUUAGUUGGCCUGUUGCCAAAAGUGUGUUCCACACCGGAAAUCUCAGUGCCAUCGCUCAGGACUGGAGCGCAGAGGAGGCCACCGUGCUCUGUGGCCGUAGCCACCUGGCAACUCCAGCGAGGACACUCACAGCAGCUCUAAGUCCUAGCAAAGCUGAGCAGUAGAAGUCUGGGCCUGGAACGGUUCUAAGACCCCAAGAAAGAAAUCCCAGUGUUGUGGGGAUGGUUCUUUUAUCCAUCAAGCCCCACCUCCACUCUGUCUCUUCAGUGGAACCUUCCAAGUAGCUAACGUGAGCCUAGCUGCCCGUUCAC